CCCACUUGGUUCAGUGGUUAAUCUGCCUGAUCGUGUUGCAUUGCUGACAACGGGCGGUCGGAGGUUCGAUUCCUUCGAGUGGCA